rnacentral:rRNA from 1 species
AACGAACGCUGGCGGCAUGCCUAACACAUGCAAGUCGAACGAGACCUUCGGGUCUAGUGGCGCACGGGUGCGUAACGCGUGGGAACCUGCCCUUAGGUUCGGAAUAACUCCCCGAAAGGGGUGCUAAUACCGGAUAAUGUCUUCGGACCAAAGAUUUAUCGCCUUUGGAUGGGCCCGCGUUGGAUUAGCUAGUUGGUAGGGUAAAAGCCUACCAAGGCGACGAUCCAUAGCUGGUCUGAGAGGAUGAUCAGCCACACUGGGACUGAGACACGGCCCAGACUCCUACGGGAGGCGGCAGUGGGGAAUAUUGGACAAUGGGCGGAAGCCUGAUCCAGCAAUGCCGCGUGAGUGAUGAAGGCCGUAGGGUUGUAAAGCUCUUUUAACCGGGAUGAUAAUGACAGUACCGGGAGAAUAAGCUCCGGCUAACUCCGUG